AGCUGUAGUUCUCGUGCUGGUUGCUGCUUCAGAACGUCUGCCGCCUGAGGGGGACGCUGGUUCGCUGUGUGCUGGCCCCGAGUCGCGUUGUCCCUGGAGGAUAGUGGAGAGCGACUGGGUCGUGGUCCUCCUGGCUUUCUUACCGUCACUUUUGUUCUUUACGUCCUGUCUCCGGUUUAGCACCGUGAUGUGCGGCAGGGGUUACUAUUACAGUUAGCCUUAUCAUCCCUCCGGCAUUUUGUGUGAUAAACACUCUGCAGCCACUUCUGCUGACCGAGACAAGUCAAUUUUUGGUCUUUGCGCCUUUGCUAAGGUCCUUUGCGGUGUCUCCCACGUGUGGCGUCUUAGCCGUGUGUGGAAGUCCUACCCGUUCAUAGAACUCGGUUCAGAGGCUCCUGUGACUCUUGGACUCAACCUUUUCAGCUGGAACCGUUCCGUCCUCCCAGUGCCCGCUGGCUGCUCGCACCUGGCUUUAGUCUGGUUUCUUUCUGCUUUGAUUCCUCGUUGCAUUUGCGUGUGCCUCCCAACGUCUCCUCGGAUGGCGACUGGAUUUUGAUUCCUCUUUGUGUUCACCAGAGCUAGAACAGCGUUUUGAAUCGAAUAAUAAUAGAAGCUGACACUGUGAGAAACCCGGCACUGUUGGGAGAGGUUCAGACCUCUGAAGAAAGGAUGUGGUUCCUGCCACAGGAACAUGCAGCCCACUGAUGAGUUGCUGCUUUCUUUUGAACUUCUGGCCAUCAUGGUGUAGCUGGGACUGAAUUUAUUUUCUCAUCUGAAACAACUGGAAAACGAAAAUAUAUGAAACAGCAGUUUUCAGAUACUGGACAACAGGCAGUACAGGACAGUGAUUCCUGAGAGAAGGAAAAUAAGUAGACAAAGGCUGAGAAGAAAUGGAUAAACAUUUGGGGAAAGGAUGAGGAGAAAUCAAAUACAAGGAGGAAAAAGGGAAGCAAGAGCAAGAAAAUACUUUUCACAAAACAAGAUACGAAGAGUAUUUGGGAUUUAAGACCAAAUGAAGAUUAUGAGUAUAAUUUCUCUAAGGAAGGAAUCCCAUUUUAUUGAAUUCUGUAUCAUGGCAUGGAAUAUAGUGCCUGACACACAGGAAGUAAUCAGGAAGUGUUUCUGGAAUGAAUCUUUUUGGUCCAAGGAGACACAAUGAUUGAUUUGCAACAAGUGUACUCUUCAAGUACAUUUGCAGUCAUGAUUUGCAAUGAACAAAGAAAAAAGGACUAGAAC